CAGUCGCCACGGUAAUACGAAGGGGGCUAGCGUUGUUCGGAUUUACUGGGCGUAAAGCGCACGUAGGCGGACUUUUAAGUCACGGGUGAAAUCCCGGGGCUCAACCCCGGAACUGCCUUUGAUACUGGAAGUCUUGAGUAUGGUAGAGGUGAGUGGAAUUCCGAGUGUAGAGGUGAAAUUCGUAGAUAUUCGGAGGAACACCAGUGGCGAAGGCGGCUCACUGGACCAUUACUGACGCUGAGGUGCGAAAGCGUGGGGAGCAAACAGGAUUAGAUACCCCGGUAGUCCCUGUCUCUUAUAC
rnacentral:rRNA from 1 species